CAAAGCCAGAUUCCUAAGUUCAACCUCUAGCUGCCAUGCCAUCAACUCAUGUUUCUCAUAUUCUUUAUGAUACUUCAUGGAAUUUUCUAUUUGUUUCUCUAAUGUUCGCCACUCUUCUGCAAAAAAUGUAUGUUCUCAGGGAGCAAAAAUGGGGAAAGAUACUGAUUGACUGAAAGAAAUCCACUCAUCAAGCAACCAAUCUGCUGAAAGCCAACCUGGCUACCAUUUGCAUAUAAACAUUGGUCAUUCAAGAAAUAUUGAGGACUCUUAAGGAAAAAAAAUCAGACUAAUGCAGUCUAUUGUCUUAUUAUAUCCAAUUGCUCAGCCCCUCUUGUAAGAGAAUUAUAAAUCUCUUAUGUGUUGCCAUGUGAACUGCAGUGACUUCCUUUGGAGAAGAGACUUCUUGGUUCAAUGAUACCACUCUGCCUAUGUGAUUGCUUUCAUCAGUGGAAUGUGAACAAAGUAACACAUGUCAUGUCUGAAGCUGUGAGUCAUGUAUGAUUCAACCAUCUCCAUUUUUUUUCUGAGAAAGAUAAGCAUCAAAGAAAGGCUACUGCUUCUCCUUAUGUUCUGGGAUAAAUGUACGUGGAACAGAGUCAUAGUUAAUGGGCAGCUACUACAGCCUAAUGUAAAGUAAACAGAAAAUAAACUUUUGUAAACCUUU